rnacentral:rRNA from 1 species
GACGAACGCUGGCGGCGUGCUUAACACAUGCCAGUCGAACGGUGAAGCGCCUUCCUUUUUGGUGGGUGUGGAUGAGUGGCGAACGGGUGAGUAACACGUGAGUAACCUGCCCCCUUCUUCUGGAUAACCGCAUGAAAGUGUGGCUAAUACGGGAUAUUCUGGGUCUGUCGCAUGAUGGGUCUGGGAAAGAUAUUGUUUCGGUGGGGGAUGGGCUCGCGGCCUAUCAGCUUGUUGGUGGGGUGAUGGCCUACCAAGGCGGUGACGGGUAGCCGGCCUGAGAGGGUGGACGGUCACACUGGGACUGAGACACGGCCCAGACUCCUACGGGAGGCAGCAGUGGGGAAUAUUGCACAAUGGGCGCAAGCCUGAUGCAGCGACGCCGCGUGAGGGAUGGAGGCCUUCGGGUUGUGAACCUCUUUCGCUAGUGAAGCAGGCCUGCCUCGUUUGUGGGUGGGUUGACGGUAGCUGGAGAAGAAGCGCCGGCUAACUACGUG